CUACGGGCUGCAGCAGUGGGGAAUAUUGCACAAUGGGCGCAAGCCUGAUGCAGCCAUGCCGCGUGUAUGAAGAAGGCCUUCGGGUUGUAAAGUACUUUCAGCGGGGAGGAAGGGAGUAAAGUUAAUACCUUUGCUCAUUGACGUUACCCGCAGAAGAAGCACCGGCAACUCCGUGCCAGCAGCCGCGGUAAUACGGAGGGUGCAAGCGUUAAUCGGAAUUACUGGGCGUAAAGCGCACGCAGGCGGUUUGUUAAGUCAGAUGUGAAAUCCCCGGGCUCAACCUGGGAACUGCAUCUGAUACUGGCAAGCUUGAGUCUCGUAGAGGGGGGUAGAAUUCCAGGUGUAGCGGUGAAAUGCGUAGAGAUCUGGAGGAAUACCGGUGGCGAAGGCGGCCCCCUGGACGAAGACUGACGCUCAGGUGCGAAAGCGUGGGGAGCAAACAGGAUUAGAUACCCCAGUAGUC
rnacentral:rRNA from 1 species